UAUUUCCCAUCAACGAGGAAUUCCCAGUAAGUGCGGGUCAUAAGCUUGCGUUGAUUAAGUCCCUGCCCUUUGUACACACCGCCCCAGGGACUUAAUGAA